rnacentral:rRNA from 1 species
UACAGAGGUCCCAAGCGUUGUUCGGAUUCACUGGGCGUAAAGGGUGCGUAGGCGGUCGGGUAAGUCUGAUGUGAAAUCUCACAGCUUAACUGUGAAACUGCAUUGGAUACUAUCCGGCUAGAGGAAUGGAGGGGAGACUGGAAUACUUGGUGUAGCAGUGAAAUGCGUAGAGAUCGGGAGGAACACCAGUGGCGAAGGCGGCCUUCUGGACCAAUACUGACGCUCAUGCACGAAAGCGUGGGGAGCAAACAGG